rnacentral:misc_RNA from 1 species
GAUGAAGAACGCAUCGAAAUGCGAUACGUAGUGUGAAUUGCAGAAUUCCGUGAAUCAUCGAAUCUUUGAACGCAUAUUGCGCUCGAGGCCUCGGCCAAGAGCAUGUCUGCCUCAGCGUCGGUUUAUCCCCUCAUCCCCCUUCCUUCUGGAAGCUUUAUCCAUGCCUUUGCAUUGGUAAUUGGGGGUGGAUCUGGCCUCCCCAAUAAGCUUAUUGUUGAUUGGGUUGGCCGAAGCAUAGAGGCUUGAGCAUGGACCCGUAUGGGCAUCAACUGGAUAGGUAGAAAUGGCCUCGGCCAACUACACGAAGUUGUUGCUUGUGGACUUUGCUGGAGGCCAAGCAGGAAGCACGCUUCGGUGUGUAUACCUUAAACAUUCGACCUGAGCUCAGACAAGAUUACCCGCUGAACUUAAGCAUAUCAAUAAGCGGAGGA